AAACUGACUUGGAGGAGAAUAGUAUAACAUGAUCUAGAAGCAUUACACAUUUCCGAGAAGUUAGCCCAAAAUCGUUUAGAGUGGAGAUCCAUAUAGCCAACUCCAAUAAAUUUUUGGAAUAAAAGUUUAGUUGAGUUGAGUUGUCAUAUCAGCAUAAAACAUUGUAUUAUCAAGUAUCAACACCUAAGGUGCUCUAAAACACUCCUCUAUGUGAAUUGACACUAUUGUUGAAGUAGGUUUUUAAUAAUUUAUUAAAAAAAGAAAGAAUUAGCCAUACUUGAUGCUUAGAUCAAACUUUUGGGUUUUUUUUUUUUGCUAAUUACCAUUAAAAUAAAAGUAGGGGCUAAUAUUGUAAUUCAAAUCAUAACUGUUAAUUUUAUUAUAAAGGAAGUAAAGGAAAUGCAAUGGAGAUGCAGCCGAAAUCAUAAUGGGAUCUAAGAUAUCAUAUAGCGUAACUGAGAAGUAAAAUAAUAAACCAUAAAUUGAAGGGAAAAAAGUGAGGGUGGAAAUAGGGAGAGAGCAUUGUCAUCCAUGAAAAUCAUUUAAAUUACUUAAAAUGCUUCCGAUACAAAAUUAUGCAAAAUUCAGAAGCUUUUCCUUAAUUAAAAAAGUUUUGACGGAAAUCAAAUUCCUAAAUAGCAACCAGUUUCAAAAAGACAGAACAAAUUACUACAUAUGAAUGCUGGUUUAUCAGAAUUCAGUAUACAUUCAGCAGAUAAAACUAUUGCUGAUUUCUUGCGAUUCAAAAAGCAACUUGAUAUAAAUGGAUUGUCAAAUCUAUAGUAGAACAUUGCUUUUCCUUUGAUCAUUUGAUAAACAUAAUGCUACCUAAAAUGGAAAAACCUGAUCUAAAUGGAUUGUGAAAUCCGAUAAUUGAACAUUCUUUUUCAUUUUCUUAUUCAAUAAACAUACUGCUGUCUAAAUUUGCCUCAUUUGAGCUUUCCACAGAACAAUUCACAAUUUUUUUUUUCCAAUAAAAUGAAUGCAUGCCUCAAGUAAGCAUUAAAGCACAUUGAUGCAAGUGUUGAAACAAAGCUGAAAGCUCAUAAUGACUUCUACAGUACUAAUAGAAAUCUGGAGAUAUAUCUUUUUCUUCACAUUUAUAGGUUAUUUAACCUUAAAACACAUUCUCAGAGCAGCUCAUGGAAUUAUU
rnacentral:misc_RNA from 1 species